rnacentral:rRNA from 1 species
AUUGAACGCUGGCGGCAGGCCUAACACAUGCAAGUCGAGCGGAUGAAGGGAGCUUGCUCCUGGAUUCAGAGGCGGACGGGUGAGUAAUGCCUAGGAAUCUGCCUGGUAGUGGGGGAUAACGUCCGGAAACGGGCGAUAAUACCGCACACGUCCUGAGGGAGCAAGUGGGGGAUCUUCGGACCGCACGCUAUCAGAUGAGCCUAGGUCGGAUUAGCUAGUUUGUGGGGGAAAGGCCUACCAAGGCGACGAUCCGUAACUGGUCUGAGAGGCUGAACAGUCACACUGGAACUGAGACACGGUCCAGACUCCUACGGGAGGCAGCAGUGGGGAAUAUUGGACAAUGGGCGAAAGCCUGAUCCAGCCAUGCCGCGUGUGUGAAGAAGGUCUUCGGAUUGUAGAGCACUUUAAGUUGGGAGGAAGUGCAGUAAUUUAAUACCUUGCUGUUUUGACGUUACCAACAGAAUAAGCACCGGCUAACUUCGUG